rnacentral:misc_RNA from 1 species
UUAAGUUCAGCGGGUAACCUCGUCUGACCUGAAGUCAAGCUUAAGGGUUCGUCAGGCAGGUUGCCCUCCACAUUCCACGCAGAAGUGUUCACUAUGCGCCAAUGCAGGGGCCUCCGCCAGCAGAUUGCGGCAGACCGCGUCGCGGCCACCAUCACCAAGACUUGCUUGAGGGUUUUAAUGACGUUCAGACAGACGUGCUC